GGGCCCGCACAAGCGGUGGAGUAUGUGGUUUAAUUCGAUGCAACGCGAAGAACCUUACCAGGGUUUGACAUCCUGCGAAUCUCUUGGAAACGAGAGAGUGCCUUCGGGAGCGCAGUGACAGGUGGUGCAUGGCUGUCGUCAGCUCGUGUCGUGAGGUGUUGGGUUAAGUCCCGCAACGAGCGCAACCCCUAUCUUUAGUUGCUAGCAGGUAAUGCUGAGGACUCUAAAGAAACUGCCUACGCAAGUAGUGAGGAAGGCGGGACGACGUCAAGUCAUCACGGCCCUUACGUCCUGGGCCACACACGUGCUACAAUGCUACGGACAAAGGGCAGCAAGUUCGCGAGGACAAGCAAAUCCAUAAACCGUGGCUC
rnacentral:rRNA from 1 species